CAACCCCGCGUAGGGAUGAAGGCCUCUGGGCUGUAAACCUCUUUUAUCAAGGAAGAAGAUCUGACGGUACUUGAUGAAUAAGCCACGGCUAAUUCCGUGCCAGCAGCCGCGGUAAUACGGGAGUGGCAAGCGUUAUCCGGAAUUAUUGGGCGUAAAGCGUCCGCAGGCGGUCUUGAAAGUCUGUUGUUAAAGCUUGGAGCUCAACUCCAUUUCAGCAAUGGAAACUAGAAGACUAGAGUGUGGUAGGGGCAGAGGGAAUUCCCGGUGUAGCGGUGAAAUGCGUAGAUAU
rnacentral:rRNA from 1 species